ACUGACUUCGUACAUGAAACCUGUUUCACCAGUCAGUGCCUUAGUUUCACCAUGUACAAAAAUGGAGGAUGCCGUGCCACACACGAGUGCUAUGAAAUGAAUCUACUUUUACUCAUCACAGCAAAGAGCCAGAUUUGCCAAACAUAGGUAAUUUGCAUCAUCACAGAUCCUCACAGGAGGCGAGAGGCUUCAUACCAGCUAUGAACUGUCUGCCCAGAGGAGUUUGCCAUCUAUUGACUCCUCUGUGAAAUCCUAUGAAAUAUGAACUUUCAUUUCUACCCAGGAGAACUUUUACAAUCUUUUCGCCAAUGCCUGGUGAAGGGUGCUUGCAAUUAAAGAAUUUUUUUUUGCAAAAAUCUUGGGCUAAUAAAAGAUAUCACCUCUA